GAAAUGCGAUACUUGGUGUGAAUUGCAGAAUUCAGUGAAUCAUCGAAUCUUUGAACGCAGAUUGCGCCCUUUGGUAUUCCGAAGGGCAUGCCUGUUUGAGUGUCUUAUAAACCUCACCUCUAUAGUUUUCUAUAGUUGUGCUUUGGGUGUUGCCGUUUACUCUGGCUCGCCUUAAAUGUCUAAGUGGAAUGCGUAAUAAGUUCUCGCAACCCUCCACUCUAACACACUUUAUAUUCUGACCUCAAAUCAGGUAGGACUACCCGCUGAACUUAA
rnacentral:misc_RNA from 1 species